UCAGCCAAAGAGAGCACUAGACUUGGAGUUAAGCAGUCGAGAUUCAGCUCAAAAGAUGCCUAUUCCCCUGCCCCUCCUCAACCUCCACUCUUGUGAACAGUGAAAUCAUCUGGGAAACGCAAGGCAGCAUAGCUGGUAGAAACGGACAACGACAAUGCGAAAUUCAAAUGAGCGCAAGUGCCCUAGGAGACAGGAGGAGCCUGUUGAGGAUAGCAUAGCUCUGCGUCAUCUCACAGAGGGU